UACGUAGGGUGCGAGCGUUAAUCGGAAUUACUGGGCGUAAAGCGUGCGCAGGCGGUAAUGCAAGGCAGAUGUGAAAUCCCCGGGCUCAACCUGGGAACUGCAUUUGUGACUGCAUUGCUGGAGUGCGGCAGAGGGGGAUGGAAUUCCGCGUGUAGCAGUGAAAUGCGUAGAUAUGCGGAGGAACACCGAUGGCGAAGGCAGCACUCUGGGCAGUUUCUGACACUGAGGCACGAAGGCUAGGGGAGCAAA
rnacentral:rRNA from 1 species